rnacentral:misc_RNA from 1 species
UCCGGCUUAACGCCGGCAGUCCCCCUUUCAGGGUUCUACUACAUGCAUGUCAAGGCCAGGUAAGGUUCUUCGCGUUGCAUCGAAUUAAGCCACAUACUCCACCGCUUGUGCAGGCCCCCGUCAAUUUCUUUGAGUUUUAAUCUUGCGACCGUACUUCCCAGGCGGCUUGCUUAACGCGUUAGCUCCGCCACAAGAGGGGUCGAUUCCUCUUACAGCAAGCAAGCACCGUUUAGGGCUAGGACUAC